rnacentral:rRNA from 1 species
AAAAAGCUCGUAGUCGAAAUUGUGUCCUCGGCCGCCGGUUCGUCGCUCGCGACGCCAACUGGCGCGCACGUUGGACGUCCAGCCGGUAAUACGAACUCGCCUACGGGGUGCUCUUAACCGAGUGUCCAGGCGGGGGCCGGCAACGUUACUUUGAACAAAUUAAAGUGCUUAAAGCAGGCUAAAUUGCGCUCGCAUACACGCGCAUGGAAUAAUCGAAUAGGACCUCCGUUCUAUUUUGUUGGGUUUUUGUGGAACGACAGACGGAGGUAAUGAUCAAUGGGUGCGGAUGGGGGCAUUCGUAUUGCGACGUUAGAGGUGAAAUUCUUGGAUCGUCGCAAGACGGACUUAAGCGAAAGCAUUUGCCAAAAACGCUUUCAUCGAUCAAGAACGAAAGUUAGAGGUUCGAAGGCGAUCAGAUACCGCCCUAGUUCUAACCAUAAACUAUGCCAGCUAGCGAUCCGCCGACGUUACUUCUAUGACUCGGCGGGCAGCUUCCGGGAAACCAAAGCUUUCGGGUUCCGGGGGAAGUAUGGUUGCAAAGCUGAAACUUAAAGGAAUUGACGGAAGGGCACCACCAGGAGUGGAGCCUGCGGCUUAAUUUGACUCAACACGGGAAACCUCACCAGGCCCGGACACCGGAAGGAUUGACAGAUUGAGAGCUCUUUCUUGAUUCGGUGGGUGGUGGUGCAUGGCCGUUCUUAGUUGGUGGAGCGAUUUGUCUGGUUAAU